rnacentral:rRNA from 1 species
AUUGAACGCUGGCGGCAGGCCUAACACAUGCAAGUCGAACGAGUGGCGGACGGGUGAGUAAUGUCUGGGAAACUGCCUGAUGGAGGGGGAUAACUACUGGAAACGGUAGCUAAUACCGCAUACCAUCGGAUGUGCCCCGAUGGGAUUAGCUAGUAGGUGGGGUAAUGGCUAACCUAGGCGACGAUCCCUAGCUGGUCUGAGAGGAUGACCAGCCACACUGGAACUGAGCCACGGUCCAGACUCCUACGGGAGGCAGCAGUGGGGAAUAGUGCAGAAUGGGCGCAAGCCUGAUGCAGCCAGGCCGCGGUUAUGAAGAAGGCCGUCGGGUUGUAAAGUACUUUCAGCGGGGAGGCGUUACCCGCAGAAGAAGCACCGGCUAACUCCGUGCCAGCAGCCGCGGUAAUAC